UUAGAUACUAAAUCGCAAAAAGCUGCAACUUGAUUGCAGCUUGAAAAUGAAGUGCAAAGCGGGGAUCACUGCUGGUGCAAAACUGCCUUGGAGCACCUCAUCCUUAACACGGAUACGCAGUAACGAAAAUAUAUUCACUCUGCCAGGAGAAAGGGCAGUGAAAUUGAAUUCAGUCUUAGUCCAAGUUUGCUGCCCAGCAGUGAGUUCGAUUAUGAAAGCACAGCUGCAUGGAAUGUGCCUCUAAGUUAACAAGGUGGAAAACGGCUGAGUGCUACAGUCCAAGGUCUUUUAAAGUCCAAUCUAUCAAAUUAUGGAAUGCCAACUAAUUUAUUUUUACUUAUAAUCCAGUAACUGAACAUUCAUGUUCCACACUGUGGGUUUUUUGAACCGGUACCAAACCACCCAGAUUUGUGAAGAAGAAGGAGGAAAGAAGAACUAACUCACACCCAAAAUCCUCCAUUUUGUUACAUGCAUAUUAUUAUAUCCCAGAAACCUAAAUUUUCUACAUCUCUACCUAAUCCACCCAGUGAUAUAACUUUAAUUACACAGCAACAAUCUCAGUGUUAUCCCAUAAUUUGGGAAGCUUUUCCCAAGGCCUCAGGUCAAAUGCAGUGUGCUUUUGAAGAUCACUGCCCAUCAGCACUGAAAGACUGAAAUUCUCUGAACUCAGCAUUCCAACAUCUCCCCCUCCUGUUUGAAGCAUGAACAUUGCUUUAACUGCUUUGUUAAAUCAUUGUCGGAUACACUGAAGUAAACAAGGUACAAGUACCAUGAUGACAAUCAAAACAUACAUGCCAAAUUUCAAAAGCUCUCUCCACAGUUGAGCAAGGCUGAACCAAUCAAACAGAUCAUCCAUCCGUGAUCCUCUUUCAACUUUGAGUUUGAUGAAACCUUCUUCUAAUUGUUGAAUGCUCUUGUGUACUGAAACCAAAUGGUCAGAAAGGUUCAUGCAACACAUUCCAUCAAAGUCUUUGCAUCCAUGUCUGUGCACUAACAAGAGGAAAUCUAUUGCUGCUCUGUUUUGCAGAGCUGCAUGUCUUACACUUUGAACAUCUUUAACAAAUUGCUCAAUGCAAGAGAAAUGGCAUGAGAGUUCUUACUUAGCCAACAGCCUAAUUGAUCCAAUUGUUUCAAGGCUGCUCCUACAGCAACUUGAGGUACAAAGAGAGCUGCAACAAACCUUCUUCCAAAAUUCCAGGCUUUAAAAUUAUCAUUACAAUCAGGUGUGUAUUGAUCGACAAAUCUUUUUCCUCUAUGCUUAUGUUCUUUUAUCAUUUUUACGUUAGGUGUUAAUGAAGUAAGUUUCCCAAUGCUACAUGGUCCACCUUUGGGGUAUGAUGGAAUGGCAGGCCAAACUCUAUCUCCACAAAUUAAAAAAUCUCCUUGUGGUAAUUGUAAAGGGACAUGGUUGGGUGCUGUGUGCAAGACUGAGGUGAGAUUGCACCAAGAUGUCGCAUUAUUAUACAAUGCAUGAUUUGGAGUGACAUUUGUGAUUUUGUUUUUAUUUUGUUUUGACUCAGGAGAAUCAAAUCUUAUGCAAAAAUCCAUUUUUACUGAGCUAAAGAUUUCCAAUUCUUGAGGCUUAUAGGGUGUCUCAGGGAGAAAUUUAGCCCAGAGACCCCAUUCCUCUGUGGGAUUCAUGAGAAAUUGUAAAAGAUCUGAAGACACAUUUUUUGGUACUGGCCAAUUGUCUACUGGUAAACCAACCAAGCAGGUUGAAAAUGGCUUUUCUGGACUUGAAUGAGUCAAACAAAUGGUAUCCAAGCCUGAGGCAUUAGCUAAGGUCACCCAAACAUUGGUUUUUAGGUUGACUCACGGGCAGGAUCGCGUUACUUAAGGCAAACAGUGAAAUAAUAAGGCACAAGUAUGAUAUCUGAUUUAGUUUCAUGCUUCUCUUUGGUUUCUUUUCUCAAUCUCGUUCUGGGACAAGCCAAGCGUGAGGCAUGGAAGUUAUUCCUUUUGCAUUCUGUUCCACAAAUUUGGACCUCUUUGGAGUCUCUCUAAAGUUUUCUCCAAUUACUGUGGAGACAACAACCAUUUCCUUCCUCAUGACCUAAUAUAAUUAAAAUUUCAGUGGCCUUACACUUCAUAUGUAAUUCUGAAUCGUAACAUGAUCCACACCACGCACUUGUCAACAAGGUUUUAUGAUAUCAACAAUUCCCACAAUAUUAUACUGGCACAAAAC
rnacentral:lncRNA from 13 species